rnacentral:misc_RNA from 1 species
CGAUCAGAAGCGAGAAGAAAAUCCCCAGUCCCAUGGCGAUGUAACCAUGGAUCGACAUCUGGACAUCGGAAUGUGCAACCCAGCCUUGCCACGCCCACCAUAUCGUGGCCGCCAGGAUAGCCAGAAGAACUGUCGUGACUGCAAUCGCGCCCCUGCUCAUGGCGAGGCCUUUCUGCAUUCGGCACACGGGUCGUGCGUCUUCAUCAAAGCUAUGCUGGAGGAGUGGAAAUUCAAGCCCGAAGGGAUGAUCAUCAAACGUCUUGAGCUUCGUGCUUUCGCGUCGGUGAU